GCAAAAUUACAUGCGGAUAAGAAUAUUAAAGAGAAUAUGAAUGAGGACUGACUGGAAGAAGAGAUCCUCCUCAAACACAUAUAGUUAAGUGAUGACAAUCUAACUUCUCAUCAGUUAAAAGUACCUGAUGGAAGCUAAUAUAACUACAGUGCACACGAAGCUAUGUACUUCAUGCCUACAAACAUACAAAUACUUGCAAGGAAAUUCUGACUUCUCAU